CACGUAGGGGGCAAGCGUUGUCCGGAUUUAUUGGGCGUAAAGAGCUCGUAGGCGGUUCGGUAAGUCGGGUGUGAAACCUCCAGGCUCAACCUGGAGAUGCCACCUGAUACUGCUGUGACUCGAGUCCGGUAGGGGAGCGUGGAAUUCCUGGUGUAGCGGUGAAAUGCGCAGAUAUCAGGAGGAACACCAGCGGCGAAGGCGGCAUCCUGGACCAACACUGACGCUGAGGAGCGAAAGCCAGGGGAGCAAACGGG
rnacentral:rRNA from 1 species